UCAAAACUAUUAUUGCUUGUUAUCAUAACAAAUAUUGAUGAUACUGAUUUGGGUCCAGAAGAUAUGUGAGUUCAACAUGUGAGAUCAUUUAGUCAUCUGAAUUGGAGUCUUAUUUUUCUGUAUUAUCUCCUUUGUAUGUUUUUAGAUCUGCUUUACUGUCGAUGCAAGCCUGUUGGGUGAACCAUUGUAUCUAUGUUUUAGAGGUGACGAAAUAGGUAGGUCGGGCUGGUUGAAUAACAUGUUUGGGUCAACAUGAGUAAGCUUUUUCUAUCAGUUAAAAUGGGUGUGGUUGGCCUGAAAUAGUCUGUCCAGUCCAAAUUAAUUCUUCUUAUAGGCACUUAGUAUGUCGUAUAUGAUUACAAAAGUUUUAUUAUGUCAAUAAUAACCUACAGUUAGAAAUAAAAUGAUUUAAGUGGUUUAAUGCAUUAGAAAUACACUUUGGGAAAAUUUUGACCCGUUUAAUCCGUUUGGGCUUUUUCCUCUUUAACUUGUCUUUUUUUACCCAUUUGACCUGUUAGAGGUGAAACAUACACCGAAUCUACUCAUUAUCAUUUGUGUAGUAAUUUGCUAGAUUAACUGGAAUGCAUUUGUUCAAAAGCUUAUGUGACGCUACAGGUUUUUCACCCUAUACAUGACCGGACUUUUUACCUGAACGUUGAACAUAAAAGGAAGCUUAAAUAGGAAUUUGGAAUCGAACCAUGGACCUUCAAACAAAAACUCAGUGAUGCGGUUUUUAUACUAGCUGGUUGUCCUUACCAAGUUAGAAACUUGAAGUCAUGCACCAAGGUUGAACUCAACUUUAUUUCACCUGAAAGUCUUGGCGAAUGCAUCUCGCUUACAAACAGAAGUACAGAACUCUGUAUGCUUCCCAACAAUCACAUGGCCAAACAACAAAAAUUAAACGUAAUUUUUUUAAUGCUUUUAAGUUACUAAAAAUGGGCGAAAAACUUAAGUAUUAGUUGUGUUUUUAAUAGACACCUUGGGAUUCUGGGGAACUGUUUUGUUAUGUAGAUACAAAAGCCUAUUAUUAUGAGAUGUAAUAUUCAUUCAUAGUUUGUUGGAUUUUC